rnacentral:rRNA from 1 species
AGUGAACGCUGGCGGUAGGCCUAACACAUGCAAGUCGAACGGCAGCACAGGAGAGCUUGCUCUCUAGGUGGCGAGUGGCGGACGGGUGAGGAAUACAUCGGAAUCUGCCCAGUCGUGGGGGAUAACGUAGGGAAACUUACGCUAAUACCGCAUACGACCUGCUGGUGAAAGAGGGGGAUCGCAAGACCUCUCGCGAUUGGAUGAGCCGAUGUCGGAUUAGCUAGUUAGCGGGGUAAUGGCCCACCAAGGCGACGAUCCGUAGCUGGUCUGAGAGGAUGAUCAGCCACACUGGAACUGAGACACGGUCCAGACUCCUACGGGAGGCAGCAGUGGGGAAUAUUGGACAAUGGGCGCAAGCCUGAUCCAGCCAUACCGAGUGGGUGAAGAAGGCCUUCGGGUUGUAAAGCCCUUUUGUUGGGAAAGAAAUCUUUCAGGCUAAUACCCUGGGAGGAUGACGGUACCCAAAGAAUAAGCACCGGCUAACUUCGUG